rnacentral:tRNA from 1 species
GUCCCCAUCGUCUAGUCAGGUCUAGGACACCAGCCUUUCAAGCUGGCGACACGGGUUCGAAUCCCGUUGGGGAUACCA